rnacentral:rRNA from 1 species
AUUGAACGCUGGCGGCAUGCCUUACACAUGCAAGUCGAACGGCAGCACGGGAGCAAUCCUGGUGGCGAGUGGCGAACGGGUGAGUAAUGUAUCGGAACGUACCUUCCAGUGGGGGAUAACGUAGCGAAAGUUACGCUAAUACCGCAUAUUCUGUGAGCAGGAAAGCAGGGGAUCGCAAGACCUUGCGCUGAUUGAGCGGCCGAUAUCAGAUUAGCUAGUUGGUGAGGUAAAGGCUCACCAAGGCGACGAUCUGUAGCGGGUCUGAGAGGAUGAUCCGCCACACUGGAACUGAGACACGGUCCAGACUCCUACGGGAGGCAGCAGUGGGGAAUUUUGGACAAUGGGCGCAAGCCUGAUCCAGCCAUGCCGCGUGAGUGAAGAAGGCCUUCGGGUUGUAAAGCUCUUUCAGCCGGGAAGAAAACGCAUGGGUUAAUACCCUGUGUGGAUGACGGUACCGGAAUAAGAAGCACCGGCUAACUACGUG